AUUGAACGCUGGCGGCAGGCCUAACACAUGCAAGUCGAACGGUAACAGGAAGAAGCUUGCUUCUUUGCUGACGAGUGGCGGACGGGUGAGUAAUGUCUGGGAAACUGCCUGAUGGAGGGGGAUAACUACUGGAAACGGUAGCUAAUACCGCAUAACGUCGCAAGACCAAAGAGGGGGACCUUCGGGCCUCUUGCCAUCGGAUGUGCCCAGAUGGGAUUAGCUAGUAGGUGGGGUAACGGCUCACCUAGGCGACGAUCCCUAGCUGGUCUGAGAGGAUGACCCGCCACCCUGGAAUUGAGACCCGGUCAAGACUCCUCCGGGGGGCAGAAGGGGGGAAUUUGGCAAAAGGGGGGAAAGCCUGAUGCAGCCAUGCCGGGUGUAUGAAGAAGGCCUUCGGGUUGUAAAGUACUUUCAGGGGGGAGGAAGGGAGUAAAGUUAAUACCUUUGCUCAUUGACUUUCCCCGCGGAAGAAGCCCCGGCUAACCCCG
rnacentral:rRNA from 1 species